CACUUAAGUUAGUGUGUCAAUAAUCAUAGUAAUGCUGGUGUUCAAAAGAAUGAAAAUGACUACAAAAGCAGCAAGUGAUUACCUACCAAUCAGUGUCUGCUAAUGCGCUUAUGUGUUUUUGCCAGACUAAACCUGCUGAAAAAUGAGAAUUACAUGUAGAGGAUGUAUUUAGCCACUUUAGAGCAAAUAAAAAAGGCACGGAUGGAGUGGAGCCAAACUCCCAACCAAAGCCAAGUCACAUCAGUAACCGCUGCGCCCUGGGGCAGGGGCAGGCUCAGUCAGCCAUGCCAUGCAACUGGGAUAAUUAGUUUUGGAAACGAAUAUCAACUGAUAUAAUUGAGCAUUCUCCCCUAAUGAAGAUCCUCCAUGUUGUCACUGGUGAGACGCUAAUUGAAGGGAGGCGGAAGGGGAGGCCAUGAAGGGGUGACAGAGCUGCGCUUCCAUCAUAGGCUGUCAAGUAUAUUAUGUUCUCUUUGCCUUUAUGGAGCUUCAGCGUGUUUCCUCAGACUCUGCGUUAGUUGCCCUCCUCUUCCUUUGUUUUGUAUUCCAGAUUUGGACCGGAAGGAUAAAGGACUGCAGAGUAAAUCCGGAGAAAAGGAGUAUAGUGAGGGAGGAAGAAGGGGGCUGUGCAGGCAUUAAAAGCCCACCCCAAAUGACCGAGAAGCCAGACGGUGACAGGAAUAACAACACCUCACUGGGAAAAGCCUGUCAAAACCUUCAUUUUAAUUCCACACUCCUCAUAUUAGUUAAAGACAGCUUGUCAGUGGAAGAUGCCUGUGGGAUGGCACAUAUAAUUCCUGUACAACACAUCAACAUGGGGACUGUAUUCAUAUCACUGGCCUUGUAUUCAGUCAGAGGUCAAAGACCAGUUACAUGCAUGGUUAAAAAAAGUGUGUAAACCUAAUAUUCAGUUGCCAGGUUGGAUGGGAAGAUCUACAUCAGAUAUUAAAUGACACACUUCCAAAGUAUUUGAAAGUCAAAAUACAUUUUAAACCAUAUUUACUUUCUGUAUUAUUGUAAAAGUUUUGUCAGUGUAUGUAAUAAAAAAAAGUAAUAAAAUAAAAUAAAAUUACUUUGGCUUUGUAGUCUUGGGAAUCAACGUUCCUUUUCUUUUCUCAAACUGCCAUAUGUCUAUGUAGUCAUUGAUUAGCAGUCUCCCUCCUUUCUGGUAUGAAAUGCCCACUUUUUUUCUUUUUCUUUCUUUCUUUUUUUUAUUAAUAAAAAAAAUUAAAUGGUUAUUCUAAUCUUUCUACAAGACCACAUUGUAAAAUGCUAAAUUCAGUUUAAAGUUGACAAAUAAAAAAAAGUUUGACAUCUAUAUCCUC
ensembl:lncRNA